rnacentral:rRNA from 1 species
UGGGGAAUCUUGGACAAUGGGGGCAACCCUGAUCCAGCCAUGCCGCGUGGGUGAAGAAGGCCUGCGGGUUGUAAAGCCCUUUCAGCGGGGAAGAAAGGUUUGGGAUGAAGAGUCCUGAGUCUUGACGUUACUCGCAGAAGAAGCACCGGCUAACUCCGUGCCAGCAGCCGCGGUAAUACGGAGGGUGCGAGCGUUAAUCGGAAUCACUGGGCGUAAAGCGCGCGUAGGCGGCCGAAUGAGUCAGCUGUGAAAGCCCCGGGCUUAACCUGGGAAUGGCAGUUGAUACUGUUCGGCUCGAGUCUGUCAGAGGGGGGUGGAAUUCCAGGUGUAGCGGUGAAAUGCGUAGAGAUCUGGAGGAACACCAGUGGCGAAGGCGGCCCCCUGGGGCGAGACUGACGCUGAGGUGCGACAGCGUGGGGAGCAAACA